rnacentral:rRNA from 1 species
CCUACGGGUGGCAGCAGUGGGGAAUAUUGCACAAUGGGGGAAACCCUGAUGCAGCAACGCCGCGUGAGUGAAGAAGGUUCUCGGAUUGUAAAGCUCUGUUAGCAGGGAAGAGGAAGGACGGUCCCUGCAGAGGAAGCCACGGCUAACUACGUGCCAUCACCCGCGGUAAAAGGUAGGAGGCAAGCUUCUCUCGGAAGAACUGGGCGUAAAGGAGGCGUAGGCGGUUAAACAAGUUAUAUGUUAAAUAUAUAGGAUUAACCUGUAGAAAGCAUAUAAAACUGUGUAACUAGAGUGCAGGAGAGGUAAGCGGAAUUCCUAGUGUAGCGGUGAAAUGCGUAGAGAUUAGGAAGAACACCAGUGGCGAAGGCGGCUUACUGGACUGUAACUGACGCUGAGGCAUGAAAGCGUGGGGAGCAAACAGGAUUAGAUACCCCAGUAGUC